rnacentral:rRNA from 1 species
UGCAGAAUCCCGUGAACCAUCGAGUCUUUGAACGCAAGUUGCGCCCAAAGCCUUCUGGCUGAGGGCACGUCUGCCUGGGUGUCACAAAUCGUCGUCCCCCAUCCUAUAAGGAUAGAGGACGGAAGCUGGUCUCCCGUGUGUUACCGCACGCGGCUGGCCAAAAUCCGAGCAAAGGACGUCAUGAGCGUCUCGACAUGCGGUGGUGAAAAGCCUCGUCAUAUCGUCGGUCGCUCUGUCCGGAAGCUCUUGAUGACCCAAAGGCCUCAACGCGACCCCAGGUCAGGCGGGAUCACCCGCUGAGUUUAAGCAUAUCAAUAAGCGGAGGAAAAGAAACUAACAAGGAUUCCCUUAGUAACGGCGAGCGAACCGGGAAGAGCCCAGCUUGAAAAUCGGACGUCUUUGGCGUUCGA